UAGAGUUUGAUUAUGGCUCAGGAUUAACGCUAGCGGCAGGCUAAUACAUGCAAGUCGAACGGGAUUCAAAGUAGCAAUAUUUUGAUGAGAGUGGCGCACGGGUGAGUAACACGUAUGCAAUUUACCUUUAACUGGGGGAUAGCCCUCCGAAAGGAGGAUUAAUACCGCAUAAUAUAUUGAAAUGGCAUCAUUUUAAUAUUAAACCUACGGGGGUUAAAGAUGAGCAUGCAUCCGAUUAGCUAGUUGGUGUGGUAACGGCUCACCAAGGCAACGAUCGGUAGGGGGUCUGAGAGGAUGAUCCCCCACACUGGUACUGAGACACGGACCAGACUCCUACGGGAGGCAGCAGUAAGGAAUAUUGGACAAUGGAGGCAACUCUGAUCCAGCCAUGCCGCGUGAAGGAUUAAGGCCCUAUGGGUUGUAAACUUCUUUUAGACGGGACAAAACCCCUUUACGUGUAAAGGGUUGAUGGUACUGUCAGAAUAAGCAUCGGCUAACUUCGUGCCAGCAGCCGCGGUAAUACGAAGGAUGCAAGCGUUAUCCGGAAUUAUUGGGUUUAAAGGGUGCGUAGGCGGACUAAUAAGUCAGUGGUGAAAGCCUGCAGCUUAACUGCAGAAUUGCCGUUGAUACUGUUAGUCUUGAGUACAGUUGAGGUAGGCGGAAUGUGUCAUGUAGCGGUGAAAUGCUUAGAUAUGACACAGAACACCGAUUGCGAAGGCAGCUUGCUACGGGAUUAUUGACACUGAGGCACGAAAGCGUGGGGAUCAAACAGGAUUAGAUACCCUGGUAGUCCACGCCCUAAACGAUGGAUACUCGACAUCAGCGAUACACUGUUGGUGUCUGAGCGAAAGCAUUAAGUAUCCCACCUGGGAAGUACGACCGCAAGGUUGAAACUCAAAUGAAUUGACGG
rnacentral:rRNA from 1 species